GAUGAACGCUAGCGGCAGGCCUAACACAUGCAAGUCGAGGGAGAAGCCCUUUCGGGGGCAGAAACCGGCGCACGGGUGCGUAACGCGUAUGCAACCUACCUUUCACAGGGGGAUAGCCCGAAGAAAUUUGGAUUAAUACCCCAUAAUAUUAUUGGAUGGCAUCAUUUGAUAAUUAAAACUGCGGUGGUGAAAGAUGGGCAUGCGUCCUAUUAGCUAGUUGGAGUGGUAACGGCACCCCAAGGCUACGAUAGGUAGGGGUCCUGAGAGGGAGAUCCCCCACACUGGUACUGAGACAGGGACCAGACUCCUACGGGAGGCGGCAGUGAGGAAUAUUGGUCAAUGGUCGGAAGACUGAACCAGCCAUGCCGCGUGCAGGAAGAAUGCCUUAUGGGUUGUAAACUGCUUUUAUAUGGGAAGAAUAAGGCGUACGUGUACGUUGAUGACGGUACCAUAUGAAUAAGCAUCGGCUAACUCCGUG
rnacentral:rRNA from 1 species